UGCAGUCGAACGCGUUGGCCCAAUUGAUUGAUGGUGCUUGCACCUGAUUGAUUUUGGUCGCCAACGAGUGGCGGACGGGUGAGUAACACGUAGGUAACCUGCCCAGAAGCGGGGGACAACAUUUGGAAACAGAUGCUAAUACCGCAUAACAGCGUUGUUCGCAUGAACAACGCUUAAAAGAUGGCUUCUCGCUAUCACUUCUGGAUGGACCUGCGGUGCAUUAGCUUGUUGGUGGGGUAACGGCCUACCAAGGCGAUGAUGCAUAGCCGAGUUGAGAGACUGAUCGGCCACAAUGGGACUGAGACACGGCCCAUACUCCUACGGGAGGCAGCAGUAGGGAAUCUUCCACAAUGGGCGCAAGCCUGAUGGAGCAACACCGCGUGAGUGAAGAAGGGUUUCGGCUCGUAAAGCUCUGUUGUUAAAGAAGAACACGUAUGAGAGUAACUGUUCAUACGUUGACGGUAUUUAACCAGAAAGUCACGGCUAACUACGUGCCAGCAGCCGCGGUAAUACGUAGGUGGCAAGCGUUAUCCGGAUUUAUUGGGCGUAAAGAGAGUGCAGGCGGUUUUCUAAGUCUGAUGUGAAAGCCUUCGGCUUAACCGGAGAAGUGCAUCGGAAACUGGAUAACUUGAGUGCAGAAGAGGGUAGUGGAACUCCAUGUGUAGCGGUGGAAUGCGUAGAUAUAUGGAAGAACACCAGUGGCGAAGGCGGCUACCUGGUCUGCAACUGACGCUGAGACUCGAAAGCAUGGGUAGCGAACAGGAUUAGAUACCCUGGUAGUCCAUGCCGUAAACGAUGAGUGCUAGGUGUUGGAGGGUUUCCGCCCUUCAGUGCCGGAGCUAACGCAUUAAGCACUCCGCCUGGGGAGUACGACCGCAAGGUUGAAACUCAAAGGAAUUGACGGGGGCCCGCACAAGCGGUGGAGCAUGUGGUUUAAUUCGAAGCUACGCGAAGAACCUUACCAGGUCUUGACAUCUUGCGCCAACCCUAGAGAUAGGGCGUUUCCUUCGGGAACGCAAUGACAGGUGGUGCAUGGUCGUCGUCAGCUCGUGUCGUGAGAUGUUGGGUUAAGUCCCGCAACGAGCGCAACCCUUGUUACUAGUUGCCAGCAUUAAGUUGGGCACUCUAGUGAGACUGCCGGUGACAAACCGGAGGAAGGUGGGGACGACGUCAGAUCAUCAUGCCCCUUAUGACCUGGGCUACACACGUGCUACAAUGGACGGUACAACGAGUCGCGAACUCGCGAGGGCAAGCAAAUCUCUUAAAACCGUUCUCAGUUCGGACUGCAGGCUGCAACUCGCCUGCACGAAGUCGGAAUCGCUAGUAAUCGCGGAUCAGCAUGCCGCGGUGAAUACGUUCCCGGGCCUUGUACACACCGCCCGUCACACCAUGAGAGUUUGUAACACCCAAAGUCGGUGGGGUAACCUUUAGGAGCCAGCCGCCUA
rnacentral:rRNA from 1 species